GGGGGGGGGGGGGGGGGGGCGGGGCGGGGGGGGGGCGGGCGAACUCUUCGGAGUGAGUGGCGGACGGGUGGGUAACGCGUGGGAACGUGCCUUUAGGUUCGGAAUAACUCAGGGAAACUUGUGCUAAUACCGCAUGUGCCCUUCGGGGGAACGAGUUAUCGCCUUUAGAGCGGCCCGCGUCGGAUUAGCUAGUUGGUGAGGUAAAGGCUCACCAAGGCGACGAUCAGUAGCUGGUCUGCGAGGAUGAUCAGCCACAUUGGGACUGAGACACGGCCCAAACUCCUACGGGAGGCAGCAGUGGGGAAUCUUGCGCAAUGGGCGAAAGCCUGACGCAGCCAUGCCGCGUGAAUGAUGAAGGUCUUAGGAUUGUAAAAUUCUUUCACCGGGGACGAUAAUGACGGUACCCGGAGAAGAAGCCCCGGCUAACUUCGUG
rnacentral:rRNA from 1 species